AAUUUAAGACACUUACCAAAUGGAUGUCUCGCAACAAUUGGCUCCGAUUUCAGGCCUUCCCCUACACCAUAUUUAUUUUCGGCACUGACCCUGAAGGUAUAUUCCAUGCCCUCAUGAAGUCUGGUUACUCUAAAGGUGGUUUUCUGGACAGCUGAGGCGCACGUCACCCACUUGUUGUUCACAGAAUCCCUCUUCUCUAGGAUAUAGUUGGUGAUUUCAGAACCUCCAUCAUCCUUUGGAGGAGCCCACUUUAAGGUCAUGGCUUCUGCUGUGACUUCAUCAAAUUUGAUUGGUCCAGUGGGGAUGCCAGGCUUGCCAACAACCUUUAUGGAGAUAGUUCCUUCCUUGGUGCCAGCAACAUUCUUAAGUGUGAUUGUGUAUUUUCCAGCAUCAGAUUUUUGGCAAUCGUACACUAUAAGAGUUGUGUUAACCGCAGAUGACUCAACACUGACUCUAGUGUCAGUUGCUAGAGGAUCUUCCCCUUUCUUCCAGGAGACUGAUGGAGCUGGCUUGCCUUUUAUGGGGAUCUUAAGCCGGAAGUUGCUGUUUUCUUUAGCCAAGUAGCACAAAUCAGGUAGACCCUUUAAGUCAAGAUCAGGAGCCACUGUAAAAUAGCAGAGAUAAAUUACUGUUAUUUUUAAGGCCAGGCGAUUAACUUUUUCAAAUAGUUCUAGCUUUUAACGGAUUUUUAGAUAAGCUAGUGAGUGGGACACAAGAGUGCACUUUCGAUGACAAUAAAGGAAAAAUGAAGAUGUGUGCAUAGAGCCUUACCAACAUCAUCCCUUGCCACAACAGUGAUUUCGCUUGGGGUUCCUUCUCCAUUUUCAUUCUCAGCACUCACUCUGAAGGUAUAUUCCUUCCCUUCAGUCAAAUCUUUUGCAGAGUACUGUAGGCUUAAGGAUUUCAUAACUCGUUGCCACUUAUUUUCUUCAGUCAGGAAAUCAACUACAUAUCCAAUAAUCCGACUUCCACCAUCACUGUGAGGCUUUUUCCAGCCAAUGCUACAGGAUGACUUAGAUACAGACCUCACUUUCAGGUCCACAACUGGUCCAGGAGUUUCUAAAGCAAAGGAGAAAUGAUAAGUGUAAGCCCCAUAUAACAAAGGAAGGAUAUAACUCAAAAUGAUGGGAUGAUGGUUCAUUUGCUUACGGGAAGCUUUGACAGCAUCACGAGUUUCACCGGGAUCACCAAUGCCAUACUCAUUUUCAGCAAACACUCGGAAGAAGUAGGAUUUUCCCUCCUCCAAAUUAGCUACUCUGAAGCUUGUUUUGGAGCACUCAGUUGUCACUGUAGACCAGGAUUUCCUCUCUGCAUCACGUUUUUGUACCACAUAGUUUAUGAUGGGGCUUCCGCCAUCAAUAAUGGGAGGCUCCCAGGUAACAUAAGCAGAGUCUUUGGAUAUUUCCUUAACAGUCACAUUGACAGGUGGCCCAGGAGUAUCUGGAUAAAUAGUAGGUAAAUAAGAAAUGAAUGUGUAAAAAAUACAUAAGCUAUUUUAAAAUAUAUAUGAUUCUUUUUUGAAAUAGACUUACCAAGCACUUUCACAACAAUGGUAUAUUCCUUUUUACCACAGCUGUUCUCCAGGGUUAAGAUAUAUUUUCCUGCAUCAUAUUUGUUCACAUUUUCACAGCGCAAGAAAGUGUCAAAGUCAGUUGACUUUAUGUCCAGUCCAAUCCUGUCUCUUAGAUUGACAUUUGGUUUAGACCAAGUAAUCUUUGGAGGUGGGCGUCCUUUUACUGGUACAUAUAGUCUCAUAGUAACUCCAGCACGUAAUAUGAGUGUCUUCCUUAAGUCCGCAUCAAGUUCUCCCUCAGGUGGAACUGUUUAAUUUUGGGUGAAGAAGUUAAAUAAAAAUUUAAUAGUCAAAUGUAUUUCCAGGGACUGGCCUUGUCACUCCUAAAAUACAUUUAUUUUCUAGAGCUGAUUUCUUGUUCUUUAAAACUUCCUUAAUACAAUCCUCAAAAUCAUUUUUCUGUUCUGUACUAAUUGUUGAUCUUUCCAUUUUCCACUAUGCUUUAGGCUUAACCAGGUUUUCCCCCCGGAGGAUCUGUACCUCCUCUUUCAUGAGCCUUAUGUACUCUGAAAUGCUACAUAUAUUAAAAGGAAAGUAGACGAUU
ensembl:lncRNA novel transcript, antisense to titin